UUCACUAGACUGCAGAAUUUUUAUUUGUGAUAAGGAAAUGCUUGUGAACACCUGACCAAUAAUCAUUUUACUUAGUAGGUUCUCUAUUUUUUGAAUGAGUGCCUGUACUUACACUACUCAUGAAAAAUACCACCAAAAUCUAAUUAAUAAAAAAUCCACUUCCCCAGUAGAGAAGAUUGAUUAAUUUUUUGACUUUUCAAAGGAUGUACGACGUGAUAGACGCGAUCCGUUUCGUCACAGAAAAACAGAGUAGCCUCGCUGCGAUUGGCUCUUUUUGGUAGGUAUUGAAAUAGGUGCUAUUUUUUUUUUUUUUUUUAAUAAUCUCAUGGUUCAUAUCAUUUGAUUUUGAAUUUGUCAGUAUUUUUGAAAAGAUCUAAAAUUCAGAUAUUUUUCAACUUAAAUUUUCAACAACGACGAUUCAAAUUUAAUUAAUUGAAAAAAUAAAUGGUGCUACAACUAGUGUUGGGCAAAUUCGCGAAUAUUCUUUUUUUGCUUGCGCAUGCGCAAGAAUAUGCGCAUAUUCUUGCGCAUAUUCCGCAGAUUCUUUUCAAAAAAUUAGAACAUUAUUGCUUAGUUUAGAGAUAAUCGGAAACUUUCCAAAUUUCCAUUGAAAAGGAUUCAAAUUAUUAAGGAAAAUUGGAAAUUUAUAAAGAAAAGUAGAUGUAAAACUUGUAAAUUGUGGAAAAUUGUAGAAAAAACUUCAAAUUUUUUGAAAAAAGUCAUGAUUUUUAUUUUUUUGAGAGAAUAUUCUCCAGGCAUUUGAGAAUAUUCGCGAAUAUUCGCGAAUAUUCUCAGAUUAUGCGCAUUGAGAAUAUUCUCAGGCCAACACUAGCUACAACGUAUUUUUUUUUAGUAAAAAAUGAGAAAAAAAUGAAAAAUUGAUUAGCUGAGUGUGUUUUAGUGCUUGAUGCCCUUGACUAGCAGAGAAAAAUCUGGCCAAUGGCCAUCCAGUGUUAUGCUUUAUCAAUUUUCACUAUUUCUACAUUAUGAUGUGAUGGAGUUUCAAUUUUCUAUAUUUUCAGCAAUUUUUAAUUCGGAUUCUUGAUAAUUAAUGAAUCUGUUUCAAGCAAUUGGUUGCUAUUAUUAUAACCUGUGUAGUGUGUACUUUAUGGGAUGUUAUUUCUCAUUCAUUGUUGGUGAUGAUUGUGAUGAAUAUUGAAUAAUAAUAAUACUGUUGAUUUCGAUCAUAGACAAUUUUUACUUUUUGAGUGCUUUGCUUUUCAAUUUGAAUAAAUUGAAAAAAAACUGAUACCUGUGUAUAUUGUACUGUACAAGUGUACAUAAAUAAUACAGUUGAUUGAUAGCAGACUGAUUCUCAUAUUUUUAAAUUUUCAACAAUUGUGUACUCAAUGGGAUGUAAUUUGUGUUUUAUUGUGCUGUGAUAAACUGCUUCUUGAGUGACUUUCCUUUUUGAAUUUAUUUUCAAAAGAAAAAAAAAGUGAUACUUGAACUUUUAAGCACUUAUUUACACUUCCUAAUGUGAAUAUUAAAUAAAGUUGGUUGGUUCCAGUUGUUCAUUUCAUUUACCUGUAACCUGUGUAUAUUGUACUGCUGUGCAUAAUAAAUAAUACAGCAGUUGAUUGAUAGCAGACUGAUUAUCAUUUUGAACUUUUUCAACAAUCUUUGAAUUUCUUAGAUUCAAGCACUCAGCACUGAUUAUUAUCAACAGCAGGCUACAGAUUUUGUAUUGAUCUGUCAGGUCUAUUCUACAGAAGGUCGUGUGGGUCGUGUGAAUACAUAAUAUUUGCACGUAAAAAUUUUUUCGAGUGGCCGUGUUUUUAAACACGUAAAUUAUUUUCUUGAAUAAAUGGUCGUGUAGAUUUUUUUGCACGUAAAACUCUACUGGUCGUGCAUUGCACGUUAAAACAUUUUUCAUAUCUUUUGAAUUAAAUUCAGCGUACAUUGGUCGUGUAUUAUCAUACACGUAAAAUAGAAUUUGAUUUAUUUAUUACAGUUUUGGUAAUACGUUUAGUCAUUUGAAUAAAUAAAUUUGAAGUGAA